rnacentral:lncRNA from 1 species
GGGCCAGAGCCGCAGCUGUGGCCUCGGUCGCCCGCAGCUGAGCCUUUCCUGCGGGCAGCGCCCGGACUCCGGUCGCUUGCUUCCCGGCCUCAGAGACCUGUCCACCUGGCGCUGUAGCAAGGAGAGAAGCCCCGGAGGUGACUGUUUCAGGAGAUGACGCACCGAAGCGCAGUGCUGCGUGAGCCAGAGAGGAGGGGCCUGAGCCACAGGGCCUGAAUAUUGGCAGUGACACUUAAGAGGCUGGCAUUUACUUCUGUUCUAACCAGCUACCUUAUAACUGUGAAAAGUAACUAUGCAUAUGUGUUGGUCAGC